rnacentral:lncRNA from 1 species
GGCUAAUAUGAAGAGUCCCACUAGACGGAGACUUUGCUGAAGAGUCCCACUGGAUGGGGACUCUGGUGAAAAGUCCCACUGGACUUGGACUCUAUUAUUAAUAGAAGAUUAAUUAGUGAUUAGAUCACUAAUUAGCUUAAUUUGAUUGAGCAUUAAAGUCUGAAUCAAGUCUGAUUGAAUUGGAUUCAAUCAGGUCAGGUCUGAUUAGGUUAUGAG